rnacentral:lncRNA from 1 species
GUUGUGCCUCUAAUUAGGUUUUUUAUUUACAUAAACAUCUCAACCCUUCUCCUACGUUCAACCAAUUCUGCUUUUGAUUUCAUCACUACCGUUGUGAUGAAACCCUAAAUCUCAUCUCUGGGCAUGUUUGAGAUUCCUUUUCCACUUCUCCUUCUUCAAAAGUCCUUUUCAAAACAAUAAGUAAGAAAUUCUUACUUCUCCAUUUUGACUUAUUGAAGGCAUACUUGAAGCUAGAAGAACUUAUUUUAUGGUGUUUGGCCUUUUCUCUUCAAAAGAACUUCUCAGUGCAUGUUUGGAAUUCAUUCUCCUUCUCAAAAGGAAUUUUGGGGCUAAAAGGACUUUUGAAAAGGAAUCCCAAACACCCACUCUCUUCGAUAAAAAAUAACCUGCUACCAACCUUGAGAACGCCUACAUUUGAAGAAAACCCCAAUUCUGUAUUCGAUUUCAUUAUUACCCUUGUGAUGAAACCCUAAAUCUCAUCUCUCUUCGAUAAAAAAUAACCUGGAACAUUGCGGGGUAGUUAUGAAGAUAACAGAUUCAAGUCAGAGUCUAAGAAGCUUCCUCUUAAGUCCAUUGACUUUCUUGCAGGGUCGGCGCAAACCCAAUUAUUCUAAAGCUAGGGCUUUAGGCCCCCAAUCCAAUAGGGCCCCAUUUUAUAAAAAAAAAAAAAAAAUUAUUGAUGUAUUUUGAGCCCAAAGUCUAUGAGCGAUCGGUGAUCAAUAAAUCUGAGAGGCCAGAGGCGGAAGAAAAAACUAAGUUAGAACACAUCAGUUAUGGGGCGACCGAUGGUAUUCUGGAAUCUGGAUGAGCCAUUGAGCGAUCCGCGACUAAUGGUACUCAGCUAUGGUCCGACCAACGUCUUUCUUUUGAUUAAUUAAUGUUCUUGAACAAUGAAGAUGGUAUUCGGCUGAAGCCUAGGUCCUUGCAGAAAUCUGUACAAGGUAAAUUUUGAUGAGUACCAAAUCAAGCAUGGAAAAACGGGCCGGUCAGAUGACGGGUCAAAUUGGUCUUGGGUCAAACAGGUUGUUUGAAAAAGUGUCAAUUUGGUUCAGGUGAAAAUGGGCUCGCCUUGAAAUGGGUCGUUUUAGAAUAAAAGCAUUAAACUGGUUUCACCCGCUAUAUUUGCUUUUAGAAAUAAACUUCAAAAAAGAGGAAAAGAGAAAAGUUUUAUACCGACAGUUUCUGCCCAAAAUUUCCUCACGUGUAUACUCUGUUAACUCCAAGAAGCUAUCCGAUGCAAAAAUCUGCAUAUCGAAUAUAGAUUCAAAACUCCAUAUUUAUGAUGUAUCUUAUUAAGGGCAGCAAUUAUAGACACAGUUAUAUCGUGUAUAGAUCAUACAAGUGCAAAGUAAGAAUUACAGGUGGCAAGAUGUGCAGAUUGAGUAACGGGUCGAAACAUGUCACUUUUAGUUCGGGUUGGCUUGACCCAAAAAUACCUUUUUAUCAUCUUUUUAGAUUUCUAAUUAAUCAUUAAGGCAUUAAAUAAGAUUAUCCAAACAAAAUUAUUACAAUAACAAUCAAAAUCCUUUUACGGUAAUGUACAAGGUUAUAUGCAUUAAAUAUACACUUUGGGUGACUUUCAACCCAUUUGACUCAUUCUGCCCAAUUAAUAUGUUCCCGUUUUGGAUAUAUUUUUUAUUUGACGUAAUAACCCAAAGGGGCACCUAUAUAAGUAAACAGGUUUAAAUCGCCACCUCCCAUAAGAGUAGAAAACAAGCGUAUGAAAGAAAAAUAAAUGUUUGAUCAAGUUCUUACAAUGGGGCAAUCAGGGAGCCUAGGAUCUGAUAUAACAAAAUUCUUUUCGAUGCGUUCAAGUGUAGUUGCUAAGUCUAUUCCCUGACGCAUGUCCCUCACUCUUUGUGCACGAUCCCAGCUAUCAGUGCGAGAUACAUCUUUUGUCAUUAACUCCUCUGGCUCAAUACUUGGUUGACGCUCGUGGGUCGACGUCCUUCCUUUGGCCCUGUGUAGAUUAAAUGUUUAGUAUUUUGUAAAUUCUGAUCAUUGUGACUUGGAAGUCAAGACAAGAGAAGUAACAUCAGCAGACAAGUAAGUACUCACCCGGUUAAGGAAUUGCGAAUUGAUUUCUUGGAUUUUGUAUUAGAUGCAGUCAAAGAAUCUGCAUCGCCUUUAGGAUCAAAGACGGGCGUUUCUCUUCCAGGUGUAACUAGACUCGGUUUUUCUGAAAGUGGGGAUUCAACGAUCUUCUCCUGAAUUUCUGUUUUACUAAAUCGAGCGCGCGGACGCUCAACAGUCUGUACAACCUCCACUAUGUCACCAAGUGCUGUCUCCUUCUGACGAGCUGGUCACGAUCAAACACAAAACUUAAUUUUUGUAAAAGGGUAUAGCAUGCAUAGCAAAAGCAACAUGGGUCUACUUACCAUCGUAGCGAAUUAGUGACUUUGGCAAUCCAUUUGGUCUAAGCUGCUUUUCAUUCACACCUUCUGUGUAUUUGCUGACUUCUACUUGCAUUCUGUGCAAUUCAAGCAAUAAUAAGUUAAUAACUAGAUAUCUUAAGUUAACUGUGACAUAUGAUCUCAUGGUUAAACAUGCUUUAUCGCAUUCGCGGCAUGCUAAUAUCAUGAAAUCUUAAUUUAUGUAUGAGACACCAUUCUAGAAGUACUACUUCUCCUGAACACCAGGAAAACGGCAGACCCAAUGGGUAAUGAGUAACGGGUACUAGUACACAUCUAAUAAUAGAGUGAAAGAAAAUACCCAAUGAACUUGAUGGUCUUUCCAUUAUCAUCUUUGAUAGGAGUGAUGGUGAGUAGAUUCCAAAAGGGGGUCCCAUCUUUCUUGUAGUUGUAGAGCCUGCCACAGUAACUGGUGCCUGUUUUGACCGCAUGGCGUAUCUUAUCCACCUCUUUCUGGUCCGUAUCCUUCCCCUGUAGAAACCGGCUGCACACCAACAACACACCUUCUUCAAUUUCACAAAUCACCAUCUUUGCACAAAACACGCAUGACUAAUUACAAACUUACCAGUUUCUACCAAUAACUUCUUUGGAAGAAUAGCCGGUCAUUGUGAAGAAGCCACUGCUAGCAUACAUGAUGGGGCAGUCUGGCUUUGUGGCAUCGGAAACAACAAACGUCUGUUGAAGGGUGGCCAAAGCAUCUUUUAACUCUUGUGAAACUCGUGGCUGAUUGGAUGAAAAGGAGUCAUCAUGCGACGACCUCCAUGAUGCCGAUGAGCUCCUCAUGCUCCCCUCCUCGUCUGCAAUUAAACUUGCCACCAUCGCCCCUCCAGGCCAUUCUGCCGUCCUUUCAGCUAUUGUUUCUAUGUCAAUCUGGUCAUUUUCAGGUGGAGUGAUUCUAGCUACUGGUGGUGUGUUUUGAUCAGGAACUUUGUCAAAUGCCAUCCAUUUGUUAUUAGUUUUCUUUGUGCUUGAUUCAGCAUUAGAUAUUUCCAUUUGUCACAGUUUUAAAGCUUCACUGAUCCCCUCUACCUGCUUGGUCAGAUCAUAUCAAUAAUAUCCAAGUAUUUUACUAAUAUCACAACAAUCCAUGAAACAAUUUUGUUACUGAUUUUAUACUUAUGAAAAUGAAAGCAAACAUGUAUUUUACUAAUUUACUUAUUAUUUUGUUUUUGUGAAGCACUUAUGGUUAAACUAUGUGAUAUUAUUCUUGAUUUUUUUUUUUUUUUUUUUUGAUUUUGGCAUGAAAAAUAUCCUAAUAAUUUAAGUUAUUAUUAAAAAUGCAUUUAAAAA